GCGUGUUGUUGUUUGACACCCGCUGACCCCCCUGUGAACUGCGCGGCGUGGGCCGCUCUUGUUGCCUCGGCCAGAUGCCCCAGGGCGGGGCCCCCGGCCUGGGAGACCAGGCACUGGCCGGCGGCGCGAACUUCUGGAAUCGAGAUCGAGGGAAGCUCUGAGUGACCGAGAUGUGAAUCGCGACAAGA
rnacentral:misc_RNA from 1 species